GAGCUUCAAAAUGUGGUCUGCAUUUAUCAUCACUGCUAAUGAAGAAAACAGAUCUCUUGAAAACAGGUGUCUUGGCAGCCCUGGGUAGCCCUGAAGUACAGCUUGGACGGUUCAGAGUUGCAGGCAGGGAUGAGAGAUUGGUUCCACAUGCUGACCUGGGCCAACCAGAGAAAAGCAGACCGUGCAGCUGAUGGACUACCCCUAGAUUAGCACUCCCUUUGUUGAGCAGCGUUAACACCUGCAGAAGGGUGCCUUUGAAGUCCCUCCACGUUUCAAUAACUUCGGAGACUAUGUCACGUCACCACCUUUUCCUAACUCUGUGUAGAACUCCGAAAACCUAAACAUGUGAAAGAGAAAUGGAAUCAAAAUAGAAGGAGAGUCAGAUUUUCAUACUAUGGUGAGGGUGACAAGAGGAGGUGAGUUGAGAUGAAGGAGAGAUGAACAGAAGAGAAGAUUAAAGAAAAAAGGCCAGACAGCUCAAAGUGUGUGGAAGACAGGGGGGGGAAAAGAAAACGAGCACGCACAAAGAAAGUCGGGGCGUCCCCACAGAGAGCACAGCGCCGACGGCCAGACCUAAGGGUCCGAGAGAAAGAUGCAGGGAGACGGACUGAGAGAAACGGAAACAGAGACAGACAGAGAGUAAAAGAGGAGAGGAAGAGCGCGAGGGGUUGGGAGGAAGCCCCCUGCCGAUGUGGAACAAGAGCUGGGGAGAGAGGUGCCAGAACUGGUUAAAUCACAAGACCAGGGGUGAAAGAAAUCAAACGGUCUGCACAGGAAAUAGUCAAAACAAGUCAUGUGACUGGGCCGAGUCACUGUUGGAAAACAGGGCAGAUGUGUCGGCAGAGGGCUACGAAGGACCCCGGCAGAGGUUGCUAGGCUACCAACAUGAGAACACACAUUUGUCACGUAUGCCGGCCUUGUGAUAUGAGGCCUUCUCUCUGCUCCAGUCGCCUCUGGGAGCAUACCAUGCUUACAGAACAGUUGCAUUAAGGAAGUACUCCUUCAAGCUUCAGUAGUUUGACAGUGAUGAUACAUGGACUUCAGUUUCUGUUGUGUCCAUCAGCCUAGCUGCAAACAAGGGCUUGUCUGAUGGGGCAACAGUUCAUGUUGCUAUGGCUUCUGAAGUCUCUGCAAUUGUUCAGUUGGACCAGCUAAAAGUAUGUUUGAAUUCAAACAAACCCAAUAAGAGUCAAUCAUGGAAAGUAGAAAGG